rnacentral:miRNA from 1 species
AGAUAUGUUUGAUAUUGUUGGUGG